rnacentral:lncRNA from 1 species
CAGGUUUCCAUAGUGGGAGAAGCACAGAAAUUCCAGCAACUCCCUGGGAUGCCUGUUCUCAUGUCCUGGCAUUUUCUUUCCACCUUCAAGAAUUCUUUGGUGGCCAUGUAUCGAAUCAUUUCCAAGGUAUAUGUUUAUAUUUCAGGAGGAACACAGGGAAAAGUGAGUCUAAAAUAUCUUGUUCCUCCAUGUAUUUUCGAAAUAAGGUCAUCUAUCAUUUUUCUUGUUUUUUCAGCAAAAGGAUUGGAUGAAGCACUUAGCCAUAUUCCUGGAACUGGAUUUCUAUAUUCCACCAGGAGGGAGGCUUAUUUACACUUCCCCUCAGUGAUGGUUAGAGUUGGGUAUAGAACAUCUCCCAAGCCCCAUAUGUUAAAAGGAUUGGUCCUCAGAUCACGGUGUUAGCAGAAGUGGCAGCAUCUUUAAAAGGUAAGGAAUAACUAGAGGAAGUUAAGUCACUGGGGUUGUGUCCUAACAGGGCAUAUUGGCACUCUGGCUCCUUUCAGUCUCUCCCUUUGCUUUCUAGAGAUAACAGCCUUCCCGUGCCAUCCGUUCCCACCAAGAAGUACUGUGUUGCCACAGGCCCAAAACAGCAAGGAAAAAUGACCAUCAGCUGAAACUUCUAAAAUUGUG